AUUGAACGCUGGCGGCAGGCCUAACACAUGCAAGUCGAACGAGUGGCGGACGGGUGAGUAAUGUCUGGGAAACUGCCUGAUGGAGGGGGAUAUCUACUGGAAACGGUAGCUAAUACCGCAUAACAUCAGAUGUGCCCAGAGUGGAGUGGCUUGUUGGUGGGGUAACGGCGCACCAAGGCGCCGAUCCCUAGCUGGUCUGAGCGGAGGACCAGCCACACUGGAACUGAGACACGGUCCAGACGCGUACGGUAGGCAGCAGUGGGGCAUAUUGCACAAUGGGCGAAAGCCUGAUGCAGCCAGGCCGCGGGUAUGAAGAAGGCCUUCGGGUUGUAAAGUACUUUCAGCGGGGAGGCGUUACCCGCAGAAGAAGCACCGGCUAACUCCGUGCCAGCAGCCGCGGUAAUAC
rnacentral:rRNA from 1 species